AGUGAACGCUGGCGGUAGGCCUAACACAUGCAAGUCGAACGGCAGCACAGUAAGAGCUUGCUCUUACGGGUGGCGAGUGGCGGACGGGUGAGGAAUACAUCGGAAUCUACUUUUUCGUGGGGGAUAACGUAGGGAAACUUACGCUAAUACCGCAUACGACCUACGGGUGAAAGCAGGGGAUCUUCGGACCUUGCGCGAUUGAAUGAGCCGAUGUCGGAUUAGCUAGUUGGCGGGGUAAAGGCCCACCAAGGCGACGAUCCGUAGCUGGUCUGAGAGGAUGAUCAGCCACACUGGAACUGAGACACGGUCCAGACUCCUACGGGAGGCAGCAGUGGGGAAUAUUGGGCAAUGGGCGCAAGCCUGGUCCAGCCAUACCGCGUGAGUGAAGAAGGCCUUCGGGUUGUAAAGCCCUUUUGUUGGGAAAGAAAAGCAGCAGGUUAAUACCCCGCUGUUCUGACGGUACCCAAAGAAUAAGCACCGGCUAACUUCGUG
rnacentral:rRNA from 1 species